CCUACGGGAGGCAGCAGUGGGGGAUAUUGCACAAUGGGGGAAACCCUGAUGCAGCGACGCCGCGUGAGUGAAGAAGUCUUUCUGUAUGUAAAGCUCUAUCAGUAGGGAAGAAAAUUACAGUACCUGACCAAUAACCCCCGGCUCACUACGUUCCAGCAGCCGCGGGAACACGUCGGGGGCAAGCGUUAUCCGGAUUUACUGGGCGUAAAGGGGGCGUAGACGGUUAUGUAAGUCUGGAGUGAAAGCCCGGGGCCCAACCCCGGGACUGCUUUUGAAACUGUGUAACUGGAGUACAGGAGGGGCAGGCGGAAUGCGUGGUGUAGCGGUGAAAUGCGUAGAUAGCAGGAAGAACACCGGCGGCGAAGGCGGCCUGCUGGACUGAAACUGACGUUGAGGCUCGAAAGCGUGGGGAGCAAACAGGAUUAGAUACCCUUGUAGUC
rnacentral:rRNA from 1 species